CCGGGAAGGUUCGGAUUGCGGCGACGUGGGCGGUCCGCUGCCCGCGACGUUGUGAGAAGUCCACUGAACCUUAUCAUUUAGAGGAAGGAGAAGUCGUAACAAGGUUUCCGUAGGUGAACCUGCGGAAGGAUCAUUGU
rnacentral:rRNA from 1 species